ensembl:lncRNA
CCGGCCCCUCUUUCUUUCUUUUAAAAAUGUUUUUUAUUAGUACAUAGUUGCAGUACGUGAUGUUUACAUUCAUCUUGAAAGUGGGUUCAUUACUGGCCUAAGGAACACUAUUGAUUUUUGUGUUAAACUGGAUCUGUCUCAAGAAUUCCAUGUCCAACCAGCAGAAUCUUAUUGUUCCCCAGGACUGAUUUUGGGACUCUUGGCUCCCACCCCUACUAACUCAGAUUUUUAAAAUCUUUGUGGAAAAAACAGAAAGAGCUCACUCUGGACCAACGGAUCAGUCUUGCUCCGUCUUCUCUGUCUCCAGGAGGAGAAUGGAGCAGCGCCUAACCAUAUCUAGGGUGGCAGGGUAAAGCAAGAAAAGAUUUCUGCAGUCACAUCUCUCUAAUUUCUAUGUUUAGCAGUUGGAAGCAAUCCAGCUCUACAAGCAAC